UCCUUGUUUCUGGGGUAGAUUUUCGCAUUUUAGAUUGUAAGGCUGAAAUUCCUGUCCAAUGGGAAUUUACAGCCAGUGAUGGGUGGGUGUCUCUGCGUUAGGACUAUAUAACCUUUGUUCUGACCUUUGUGCCUUGCCUCGCUUUGCUCAGACUGCCGGACGAAGCAGACACCUGCUUCUCGUGAGAACAUAAUAAAUCUUUCACUUUAUACCUAGAAAAUCUCUGAGUGCUAUUUUUGGGUAACUGUAGCACACAAUAUUUGGUGCACUGGCCAGGAAAACAUGACCAGGUGGAAGGACAGAGUCCUGGGCCUCUUGGGGCGGCGUGCCCUGCCUCUAUUUUAGGCAGCCCAUGCGGCUUGGGAUUUCUUCCCCUUCCACCAGGUGAAGUGACCCGAAGCAGAGAGACUAGGUGUAUAGUGAAAGUAAAGGAGAGGACUCUGCGGCAAAUCCCGACCGUCGGUGUGGACAGAGCAGUCAGGUAACUUGUGUGCACAUGGCCCAAGGAGAAUGGACAGAAAGCUGGUUCCUACAAGAAGACAAGAUGCUGAGAUGCUGUGCUGGAGAUGGCUGGAACAAACACUAAGGACCAGAGGACUUCAUUGACGAUAUGCCCUGCCAGAAAGCUAUAUAGGAAAAGACUUUUUGAAUUUUAAAGGGACUAAUUGCUCAAACUCCCCCUCUAGGGUUUCCUGUUCAUAAACUACAAGUAGGUGAUUGGGUAUAUGUUCAAUCUUGGAAAGAUGAAAAAUUAACCCUGAAUUGGGAUGGGCCCUUUUAGGUACUUUCAAUGUCUGAUACUGCAGUUCGCACCCAGGAGCAGGGUUGGACCCAUCACACCAGAGUAAAAGGACCAGUGGUGCCUCCUUCAUCUGAAUGGACUGCUGAAAAAAAACAAGAGGACCUCAAACUACAUCUACAAAGGAGACUGCCUCCUACGAGCCCUUAUCAUGAUCCUUAAACUUCUUUCAUUUCUUAUAACUGACUGUUACUGCUGCACCCAUCCCUGUACUGUUUCCACAAGAGAAUCAAUUUAUACAACUUAUGCAAAAUGGGUAGCGGAAAGCAACUGGAGAUGAGUACAUGUGAGUAUACUUAUUCCUGCCAGAUUGGUUACUUUGAAGUUGACUGUUCCCUAUAUCAAGGUAGAUGGAAUGCCACUCAUAUUAAAUGCACUAAUGGGACAUGGA